UCUACCACUCCCGCUGAUCCCAUGAAGCCAGGGAUCCGACAGCUGUGAUGAUGGGGGCAGCUCGGCAAUGACGAAACGCUGGGACUGUGGCGGGGCAGCUCCGCACGGUGAGGGGCACAGGAAGGAUGGAUGUGGACACUGCUUGUUUCAGAAGGAAAUGGUAGAGUGCCAGGGCGUGGCCAUCGGAGGAUUCUUCUAAACAACUCAAGUGUCAUCGAUUGGACAUGUUGAUUCUGUAGCAAACCUGGGCAUGGAAACUUGGUAACAUAAUCUUCUGUGUGGACCUGUACUUGACCAGAGGGCUUUUGAUGGAAUCUGCUUGUAUCCCAGGCCUGAAAUUUGGAAUCUUUCAGAAUUCAUUUUUAAUAAAUCAUUUUGUAAGACA